rnacentral:rRNA from 1 species
UACGUAGGGGGCAAGCGUUGUCCGGAUUUAUUGGGCGUAAAGAGCGUGUAGGCGGUUUGGUAGGUCCGCUGUGAAAACUCGAGGCUCAACCUCGAGACGCCGGUGGAAACCUUCAGACUAGAGUCCGGAAGAGGAGAGUGGAAUUCCUGGUGUAGCGGUGAAAUGCGCAGAUAUCAGGAAGAACACCCGUGGCUAAGGCGGCUCUCUAGUACGGUACUGACGCUGAGACGCGAAAGCGUGGGGAGCGAACAGG